rnacentral:lncRNA from 1 species
AGAUCCCAAUAGUGGAUUAGUAGUAUUGCAGCAAAAAACCCUAAUAAAUUUAGAAUAACUAAGUAUUAAUAAUUGGUCAAGGAUUAAAGAACUUCUAAAUGACUACUUUUAUUAUUGUACAAUUAGUGAAAAUUCGUUUGAUUAGACUUUAGGAUUUAGAUUAUUUAAUAAAUUACCAGGAGCUCUAGGAAGAGAGAUAGAACAAAAAUGCGCCAAGAGAGAAGGAGUAGUACAAAACCCAAAC